GCCCGGUUGGCUCAGUGGUUGAGCAUAUGCCUUUGGCUCAGGGCAUGACCCGGGAUCGAGUCCUGCAUCGGGCU
rnacentral:tRNA from 1 species